UGUUUAGAUAUUUGUGCUGGAAAACAAGACAAGAAGAACAUCAUUUUUUUGCAGUGAAUUUGCAACUAAAAUCCUACGCUUUCAGACAAACAACUGAAACAGUGCUGAAGAAAGACACUUCUUCGGUCAAGCAUUGAAGUGUUUACUUUCCUCCUAGACAGACAGCAUGCAUCACGGAGCUCCUACCAAACACGCUGAAGUGAGUAAAUCAACAGAGACGGACCGGUUACCUGUUGUGAAGGUGUCGACACGCGGACGCUGCAAGUUUGAGCCAGCGAUCCACCGUCCGGCGGAAAAAGAAGAAGAAGUGAGAGUGCUGGUACGAUUCCCUUUGGAUGUAACAAGAAGCGAGGAUCCCUGGACGCGAGCGGAUCAGUCCUCCUGCGGCAGGCAGCUGACGGAGCGCAGAAGACACACUUUGCUUGCUGCCGUUAGGUCAUGCUCAAAGUAUGUCUGUGCAAUGUUCUGCAAGCUCAGGGAAACCACAUCCUCUGACAUACCUCCUCUAUCCUGCUGCCUGCGUGCCGUCUGUGUCUCUCUCGCUCUCUCUGACUGUCUGAGAUGACAGACCGAGCUGACCCAGACACAGUUCACUCCCUCUCUCUCUCUCUCUCUCUCUCUCUAGGCUUCUUCAGCAACCGACACAGUUCCUGCCCACCAACUGAAGAAUCCAGCUGAGGAGGAGGUGCUGAGAACGAGCGAGCGAGCGAGGAGAGGGAGGGAGACGGAUAAAAGGGAGAAAAGAGAGGGGGAGCAGUUCUUUUAGAAAUUACAGUGAAAUAAAAAAAACAAUGAGGACCAUAACCGAGGACUGUCUGGAGCGAUGAAAGAGCGUCCUCAGAGCGGUCACCUUCUCCUCUGGGGAGGAUUGUGGUUGUUCUGGGCUGAGAGGGUCUGUGUCUGCCGGCCCCGGUAGUGAGAUGUAUUUUUCAUAAGGCCCAGCCGUGGCCCCCUAUAGCUGUGAAUCCAUUAUUCAGAGCGGUCUGUGAGCGAGGGGACAGACACAUGCACAUACACACCCUGCCCAAAUCACAGCGGCCCGGUCCGAAUCACACCAUGAUCACUGCACUGCAGAUGAUUGACGCUCCAGUUUCAAAGGCUGUUGAUAGUGAUUUUAUGCACAGCAGACAACACCGCUGACCCCAGGACACAAAUUAAUGACACGAGCCCAGAUCAGAGAGUCUUUCUGGAACAGGAAACCUUGUGGCGAGCGAUGCCUGUCUCAAGUACAAUCGCUGAUAACUGCUCAUCAUGAGGUUCUUUAGACAUCGCCUCAUUCUUCUGCAGGUUAAUUCACGGUGUUCUUUAAACUAAACCUACACCCUCGUGUUUACACUCUCAUGUUUGCUUCUACUAUUAAACUCUGAGGUUUUGUAUAGCUUUAUGAACAUAUUGCUCAAGUGGUGUCACAUGUCACUGCUGACAUGGGAACAUGUUUUUGAGCCCAUUAAGAUGCUGGGAGUAUAAGAACAGUAGUGACCCUCACAACAUCUCAGACGCCUCGACUCAGACGGGCAGUUUGCUGAACAGAAGGACGCAAAAUGUUUGCAGUGACAGUUUGUAUUUUGGGAUUGCUCUAUACGAGCUCUGCCUGCAGCUUGGUGAGUUUAAAUUUAAUAAAUUGCUAUUUUACUCAUGAUACUUCGUUAUUUAUAUUAAUGCCGAUUAUAUACAUUACCAAUGAAACGUUUGUACUCAUUUGAGUGAAUUUAUAAUCAUCUUAAAAUAUUUCAAUCUUGAAAUGUUCACCUAUAUGUUCAAAUUUCUUCACAAAACUACUUAGAAAUGGAUGAUUUGGAGCAGAUAUUGAAUAAAAAACAGCUAGAGAAAAAAUAUAAAGAAUAAGUAGGUGUGUUCAAACUUUUGAUUGGUAGUGUAUAUGAAUAAAAUCUAAGCAUUAUGGUCAAUAAUAAUGAUAAUAAUAUAUUUUGUGAUGUGAUGAAAUGAUCUAACAAAAAUAUCCAUCCAUUGCAUGUCUCAUUUCUGUG